AGUGAACGCUGGCGGUAGGCCUAACACAUGCAAGUCGAACGGCAGCACAGUAAGAGCUUGCUCUUACGGGUGGCGAGUGGCGGACGGGUGAGGAAUACAUCGGAAUCUACUUUUUCGUGGGGGAUAACGUAGGGAAACUUACGCUAAUACCGCAUACGACCUACGGGUGAAAGCAGGGGAUCUUCGGACCUUGCGCGAUUGAAUGAGCCGAUGUCGGAUUAGCUAGUUGGCGGGGUAAAGGCCCACCAAGGCGACGAUCCGUAGCUGGUCUGAGAGGAUGAUCAGCCACACUGGAACUGGGAAACGGUCCAGACUCCUACGGGAGGCAGCCGUGGGGAAUAUUGGAACAUGGGCGCAAGCCUGAUCCAGCCCUACCGCGUGGGUGAAGAAGGCCUUCGGGUUGUAAAGCCCUUUUGUUGGGAAAGAAAAGCAGCAGGUUAAUACCCCGCUGUUCUGACGGUACCCAAAGAAUAAGCAACGGCUAACUUCGUG
rnacentral:rRNA from 1 species